GUAACCUGCAGGGUUGGAAGGGUGUGAAGGGAGAGAGCUGUCAUGGCCAACCGGAGUGAUGACAGAGAGGCUCUUGGUCUUGGACAGAUUAUUCAGUCUUUCAACCUUCCAAGCAAGUGUGACUUGUGCUCUUUGAUUCCUUCCUUUCAUUCUGUGGUAGCCCUGGCUAGCUCUGAUCACAUUUCCCAAGAAGUGUAUUAAAGUAUAUAUGGAAGUCUCUGAAGCCAGAAACGUGUUGUACCCAUGGCUUCCCCCUCCCCCGCCACCAUCCCCACUCCCCUUCUGUAGUGAUAAAGUAACCGGUGAUUUAGCUGAUAGAGACUUGAGACUUACUCAAUGGUGUUUCCAUGGAGACUAGCAGGCUGAACAGAUUACUGCACUUCCUCUGCUUUGUGGCUGCUGGUUGGGCUAGCUCCGAAUUUGCAUUUCUGUAGAAGACUUCCUACCCCCUGGAGCUCUGAUGGGUUUUAUGAGUAAAGAGUAAACUCACUUCAGGGCAUUUCCUCUUAAACAGUCCAAAAAAAAAAAAAAAAAA
rnacentral:lncRNA from 1 species